UACGUAGGGUGCAAGCGUUAAUCGGAAUUACUGGGCGUAAAGCGUGCGCAGGCGGUUUUGUAAGUCUGUCGUGAAAUCCCCGGGCUCAACCUGGGAAUUGCAUUGGAGACUGCAAGGCUAGAAUCUGGCAGAGGGGGGUAGAAUUCCACGUGUAGCAGUGAAAUGCGUAGAGAUGUGGAGGAACACCGAUGGCGAAGGCAGCCCACUGGGUCAAGAUUGACGCUCAUGCACGAAAGCGUGGGGAGCAAACAGG
rnacentral:rRNA from 1 species